UGGAGUCUAGCAUGUGUGCAAGUCAUUAGGUAUUUAAAAUAAACCUAAAGGCGUAAUUAACUUAACUGUUUUUAUAAAAAUAUGGGAUUAUAUAUAUAUGACAGAGUUAUAUAUUCCAUCCCGGGGCGUUCUAUAUAGUUAUGCAUUUUAAUGUAAAUUUAUUUAUAUUAUAUAUGCCUCUAACUAGAGCGUACCUUUAGCAUAUAUGUUGUGACCCGAAAGAUGGUGAACUAUACCUGAUCAGGUUGAAGUCAGGGGAAACCCUGAUGGAAGACCGAAACAGUUCUGACGUGCAAAUCGAUUGUCAGAAUUGGGUAUAGGGGCGCAAGACUAAUCGAACUAUCUAGUAGCUGGUUCCCUCCGAAGUUUCCCUCAGGAUAGCUGGUGCAAUUAAAUAUUGUAUAACAUAAUCUUAUUUGGUAAAGCGAAUGAUUAGAGGCAUUAGGGCCGAAACGACCUUAACCUAUUCUCAAACUUUAAAUAGGUAAGAACCUUACCUUUCUUGAUAUGAAGGUCAAGGUUAUGAUAUAUUGUGCCCAGUGGGCCACUUUUGGUAAGCAGAACUGGCGCUGUGGGAUGAACCAAACGUGAUGUUACGGCGCCCAAAUUAACAACUCAUACCGAUACCAUGAAAGGCGUUGCUUGCUUAAAACAGCAGGACGGUGGACAUGGAAGUCGUAAUCCGCUAAGGAGUGUGUAAAAACUCACCUGCCGAAGCAACUAGCCCUUAAAAUGGAUGGCGCUCAAGUUGUAUGCCUAUACAUCACCGCUAAAGUAUAUGAUUUAUAUAAAUAUAAAUUUAUAAUAAAUUUUGAAACUUUAGUGAGUAGGAGGGUACAAUGGUGUGCGUAGAAGUGUUUGGCGUAAGCCUACAUGGAGCCGCCAUUGGUACAGAUCUUGGUGGUAGUAGCAAAUAAUCGAAUGAGACCUUGGAGGACUGAAGUGGAGAAGGGUUUCGUGUGAACAGUGGUUGAUCACGAGUUAGUCGGUCCUAAGUUCAAGGCGAAAGCUCAAAAAUGUUAAGUUAUAAUAAAUAUAUAUAUAUAAUAUAUAUAUAUAAUACACUUAAUAUAUUGAACGAAAGGGAAUACAGUUCCAAUUCCGUAACCUGUUGAGUAUACGUUUGUUAUUAAAAAUGGGCUCUUAUGCUCAUCCUGGCAACAGAAACAACCAUAAAGAAGCCGUCGAGAAAUAUCGAAAGAGUUUUCUUUUCUGUUUCAUAGUCGUACUACCAUGGAAGUCUUUCGAAGAGAGAUAUGGUAGAUGGACUAGAAGAGCAUGGCAUUUACUGCUGUGUCGAUAUUCUCUCCUCGGACCUUGAAAAUUUAUGGUAGGGUUACGCAAACUUCUUAACAGGCCGUACCGAUAUCCGCAGCUGGUCUCCAAGGUGAAGAGUCUCUAGUCGAUAGAAUAAUGUAGGUAAGGGAAGUCA
rnacentral:rRNA from 1 species